rnacentral:rRNA from 1 species
UACGAAGGGGGGCUAGCGUUGUUCGGAUUUACUGGGCGUAAAGCGCACGUAGGCGGAUUGUUAAGUCGGGGGUGAAAUCCUGGAGCUCAACUCCAGAACUGCCUUCGAUACUGGCAAUCUCGAGUCCGGAAGAGGUAAGUGGAACUCCUAGUGUAGAGGUGGAAUUCGUAGAUAUUAGGAAGAACACCAGUGGCGAAGGCGGCUUACUGGUCCGGUACUGACGCUGAGGUGCGAAAGCGUGGGGAGCAAACAGG